AUCGCAACACAUUGAAACCCUUGUGUAACGCUAGCUUAAGUUACAAUUGUCAAACGAUUCGUUUUAGGCGGAACAUAUAUUGUCAUUAAAUUAGAACACGGUUGAAUGAUUUGUUUCCUAAACUGCGGAAUAAUUAUAUCUGCUUCUCUGGGAUCCAUCCAAGAACAUUUUGUCCUGACUGGGAGCACUACAACUGGAAGGAUUAAGAAAGCUGGUGACCAAUCCUUACUAAG